GGGGCCCCUGCUCAGCCACCAGGGACCAGCAGCCUCUCAACAACAGGCAGUGUGGGGCCACUUCUGAGCCCAGGCCUCCCUCUAGUGACCAGACCGGGGACAACAGCCAAAGGCUCCUGGCCGCUCUCCCGAAUGGACGCCUCUUCCAGAACCUACUUUCCAAGCACUUAUCUGAUCCUGGUUUCUUUUCUUAGAAACUUCAGAAACAGAGCAAAAUCUCUCAAGCUCCCCCCAUGCCUUCAGGGAAAAGAUAAAGCUCAAGCCGUCAGCCUGGUUUAUAAGGCAAAGAAGAGGUCAUGUGAGCACAGUGUGAUGGCAGCCACCUACAAGCCAAGAGAAGAGGCCUCACAAUGAAACCAACCAUGCUGACACCUUGAUCUUGGACUUCCCAGCCUCCAGAACCGUGCCAGAAGGGAGAGUUCAGAAACCGUCCUAGACAUCCAGCCCAGUUAAGCAUUCAGCUGACUCCCACUUCAGCCAUGAUGUUAUCACAUGCAAGACGUGAAGCUACCACCACUGAGCUAAGCCCGGUCAACCCACAGAACCAUGAGAAGUGAUAACCAAUUGCUGUUUCAAGCCGUUAAGUUUUGGAGUGGUUUGUUAGACAUCAGUAAGUACCUGGAAGGCAGGACUCUCUACUAUCAGAACAAAGAGACUAGGGGAAAUCACAAACGAGGAAAGCUAAUGAUUUGACUCUAUGUGAAAUAAUAACCUUUUGUAUGUUAAAUUUAAAAAAUAUAUAUGCAUAUUAAAAGAUAAAAAAAAAAUACCCCAUAAAAUUAGGCUGAGCUGAGUUUGAAUGCUGACUCUGCCACUUUCUUGUUCAGUCACCAUAGUGUGACGUUAGUCUCAUUAAGCCUCGGUUUCCUCAUCUGCAAAAUGGUGAUAAAAAUACUGAAGUUUCUCCCAAAGAGGAAAUAAUGCUUGAAAGGUACCUAGCAUAGUGCCCAGCAUAGAGACACUGUUCAAUAAGUGUCAGCUAAUAUAAUAGGAGGAAGGGCAGGGCCUGGUGAGAAGCUGACACUGUCAGCCAUAAUUACCAGAUGUUCUUAUAAUUUACGAUGCUUGGUCAGUCUUCUUACAGUACUGUGAGCCUCUUGUGCAACGUCUUAGAAACUUGUUUAGAAUCCCCUACAGUGCCCGGAACAGAACAGGAGGGAGUCUCAGAAAAUCAGGUUGUCCCUCUUUUCGUAAUCACCACAGAAUACCUUAUGUUGGGCCUGCCUUUUCUUCUGUACUGCCUACAUCUGGCCCUGAACCUGUCCUUGGUUUGUGGGCCUUUAACCAAAUGACCCCAAUAUCUGCAGCCCUCUCUCCCCUCACCACCCACCCAGACCCCAGCAUCUGAGGCCUUCCGAAGCAGUUGAAAACCUAAGAACUGCUGAGAAUUCCAGACCUGGAGUCAGCAAACUUUUUAUGUCAAGGGUCAGAUAGUAAAUAUUUUGGGCUUUUGGGCCACUUACAGUUUGUGUUCUAAUUCCUCAGUUCUGCCUUCAUAGUUUGAGAGCAACAGUAAGUGAGUGGGCGUGGCCGUGUACCAAUAAAACUUUAUUUAUGGACACUGACGUUUGAAUUUCAUAUCAUUUUCACCCAUCACAAAAUACUCUUCUUUUGAUUUUUUUUAACCACUUAAAAACGUAAAAGGCAUUCUUAGCUCUCAGGCUGUAUAAAAACAGGCAGCAGGGGCUGGCCCAGUGGCACAGCAGUUAAGUUCAUACAUUCCACUCGGGCAGCCCAGGAUUCGCCAGUUUGGAUCCCGGGUGUGGACAUGGCACCACUUGGCAGGCCAUGCUG
ensembl:lncRNA